GUGUCAGCCGCCGCGGUAAUACGAAGGGUGCAAGCGUUAUCCGGAUUCAUUGGGUUUAAAGGGUGCGUAGGUGGGGCGAUAAGUCAGUGGUGAAAUCCUGCGGCUUAACCGUAGAAUUGCCAUUGAUACUGUCGCUCUUGAGUACGCUUGACGUGGGCGGAAUGUGCCGUGUAGCGGUGAAAUGCUUAGAUAUGGCACAGAACACCGAUAGUGAAGACAGCUCACGAAGGCGAAACUGACACUGAGGCACGAAAGCGUGGGGAUCGAACAGGAUUAGAUACCCCUGUAGUCC
rnacentral:rRNA from 1 species